CGUCUGGAGAGCGUCUGAGAGAAACUGAGAAGAAAUGUGUGUCGCCCGUGGACUUAGUACACUCGGCUGAACUUUACACUUAUUCACAAAACGGCAGCUUUACUACAAAUCUGACGUGUUUAGCGAUGAUAUUUUGCGCUGAAUACCUGUUUUAAAGUUUUAUUGAGGGUCAAUCCUCGAGCGGACGCUUGGUUAAAGCACAGACCUCAAUUUUAACGGUUUUAACCGUCGCAGGAUGCGGUUGCUUAGCAACGCAGUCACUUGCAACUUUCAAACUUCAGCCGACACCUCUCGUGAGCGCUCGCGCUGACGCACGCGACAACCCACUGACCAGCGCAGGUGAUGAACCACGGAUCACGUGACCGCCAUUCAUUCAUUCAUUCAUUCAUUCAUUCAUUCGAGGCGAAACUACUACAGGCCGGUGUGUGACAUUCAGGACGUUUCUGAUGUUACCUACAGUCCUUACAGCCACAUUCAGAGAGAGGAUCUUCUCUACAAUUCAUCCUCUUCCAUUGUCCACUGCACUAAGAUCACUUCAGCCCUCUCAUACAUGACAGAUCAAGGGUUACCAAGGAUGGAGGAGAAAACCCUGAGCUGCAACAGUGCCGUGUGGAGAGGUGAAGUGCUGCCAUCUAGUGGUAAAAUCAACACACAACAUGACGUGCUCAAAAGUAUGUGGACAAAACUGCAAUAAUGAUUGUAAUUCACUCUAUUAAAGAAGCUUAACGAA